AGACAGAAGAUAAUCAUGUGCUUAUAGUAGCUUCUCAAGGCAAGGAGCUCCAGAGACUGGCAGAUAUCAGAAGCCGAAUGUUCCCAGGAAGCUUCCUCCUAGAACUUUCAGAGAAAAGAGCAGCCUUGUCAAGCCUUUGCUCAGGCUUCCAGUCUUCUAAACAGAAAUAUAAUGAGAUUGGCAGUUUUAAGUUACCAACUUUUCAGUAUUUUAUUGCAGUUUUAGGAAACUAAGGCCUUCAAGGGAGUGAUCACCUCAAGCUGCCUCAGGAACAGCCUCUCAAAGGAGCAGAUACCCACUUGGAAUGUAAAACCUGGCAUGAUCUUGAGGCAGCUGUCCUGUUUGACCAGCAUCAUUUGUCGAAGACGAUUUUUCCAAAAGGAGCCUAACAUGUCAUUUCUCUGAGAGGCCUAACCAGCAACUGACUGAGACAGAAACAAUUCUUAUACCCUACCAUUGGACUGAAGUCUGGGACCCCUAUGGCUAAGUUAGGGAAAGGAUAGAAGAAACUGAAAAGGUGGGUGACCCUAUAGAAAGACCAGCAGACUUAACUAACCUGAACUCCUGGGAAAUCCCAGACACGGAGCUACCAACUAGGAAGCAUAUACGAGGUGGUUAGAGGCCCCCAGCACAAGUAUAGUAGAGGACUGCCUGAUCUGGUCUCAGUUGGAGAAGAAAAACCUAAUCCUCAAGAGACUUGAGGCCCCAGGGGUUGGGGAGGUCUGGUGGGGUGGUGCAUCCUCUUGGAGACAGUGGGAGGAAGACUGGGAUGUAAAACUGCAUGAGGGAGGAGAGGCAAUGACUGGAUUGUAAAUAAAAUAAUAAUAAUAAUAUCAAUAAACAAACACAAACAAAAAACAUAGCCUAGUCAUGUGUUCAAAUAAAAAACAUUCAGAAAUUC
rnacentral:lncRNA from 1 species